UCCUUGUUGUUUAGUUGCUUCCUCAUCUCUGGCUCCUCACCCAGAGGAUUUCUGCUGCAUUUCGUUUUCUGAAAUAUGGACCAAGAUCAUCCAGUAAAACCAAAACACGUAAUAAAAGGUUUCUUAAAAUCAUACUACUUAAGACAGGGAGAAGAAAAGCUGGACCACCGGUGUCACCAGAACCACAUGGAGCCUAAUCCAAUGAAGACUGUGAAAAUGACUGUGGACUCCUGAAAGAAAAAGCAUGUGCAUAAUUGGCCAUGUUGCUGGUGAUUUACAUAUAUUGUAUCCACAAA